CAUAAGCCUAAAGAAUUAGAUAUUGUUGAAUGGCACUAUCUGUUGAAGUAUUUUAGGACUGCAAAAUUCCAGGCAAAGAGCAUACAAAAUUCUAGGAUUCGAGCCCAACAAAGGACUAGACAUUUGUCAGGUUCUAAGCCUUAUGCUCAGCGCAGCUAUGAGAAGAGACCCAGAAACUGGUGAUGAGCCCAAUAAUAUGGAACUUUGGUUCAUAACUCACACAAAGGAUGGGCACUGGAAAGACCAAGAAUCUAGGGAUGACUACGUGAGUUCUCACUAAAUUUGUACAUACAUUACUAUAUAUAGUCCAUGCAAAUAUAGAAUGCAUGCAAUUUCUUGUUCAACUAACUCCUCCAUCUGUGCCUU